rnacentral:rRNA from 1 species
UACAGAGGGUGCGAGCGUUACUCGGAGUAACUGGGCGUAAAGGGCACGUAGGCGGUUAUAUUAGUCUGAUGUGAAAGACCUGGGCUUAACCUGGGAUGUGCAUUGGAAACGGUAUGGCUAGAGUAUGGGAGAGGGAAGUGGAAUUUCCGGUGUAGCGGUGAAAUGCGCAGAUAUCAGGAGGAACACCGGUGGCGAAGGCGGGUCUCUGGGCCGAUACUGACGCUGAGGAGCGAAAGCAUGGGUAGCGAACAGG